GGAGAGGUGUCCGAGAGGCCGAAGGAGCUCGCCUGCUAAGCGGGUAUGGGGCUAAUCACUCCAUCGAGGGUUCGAAUCCCUCCUUCUCCGCCA
rnacentral:tRNA from 1 species